UACGGGGGGAGCAAGCGUUGUUCGGAUUUACUGGGCGUAAAGGGCGCGUAGGCGGCCACCGCAAGUCAGUUGUGAAAGCUCUGGGCUUAACCCAGAAAGGUCAACUGAUACUGCGGGGCUAGAGUGCAGAAGGGGCAACUGGAAUUCUCGGUGUAGCGGUGAAAUGCGUAGAUAUCGAGAGGAACACCUGCGGCGAAGGCGGGUUGCUGGGCUGACACUGACGCUGAAGUGCGAAAGCUAGGGGAGCGAACGGG
rnacentral:rRNA from 1 species